rnacentral:rRNA from 1 species
GGAUCAAUCUGUUGGUCGUGCCUUUGGUACGUACUAGCUUAUUGAUUCCUCCCUUCUGAAGAACCACGAUGUCAUUAAUUUGGUGUUUUAGGGAAUCAGGACUGUUACUUUGAAAAAAUUAGAGUGUUUAAAGCAGGCUCACGCUUGAAUACAUUAGCAUGGAAUAACGGAAUAGGACGUUUGAUUCUAUUUUGUUGGUUUCUAGGAUCGACGUA